UCGAGGAUGAGUCUUGUGGAGGUAGAGCACUGAAUGUACGAUGGCCCCAUCCCGGGGUACUGAGUAUAAUCAAACUCCGAAUGCCAUGAGAUAUUCCCGGCAGUCAGACCGUGGGUGAUAAGGUCCAUGGUCAAAAGGGAAACAGCCCAGACCGCCAGUUAAGGUCCCAAAAUGUAUGCUAAGUGGAAAAGGAUGUGGGGAUGCACAGACAACUAGGAGGUUGGCUCAGAAGCAGCCAUCCUUCAAAGAGUGCGUAACAGCUCACUAGUCGAGUGACCCUGCGCCGAAAAUGUACCGGGGCUAAGCAUACUACCGAAGCUGCGGAUUUGUAGUAAUACAAGUGGUAGGGGAGCGUUCCAUGCACGUGGAAGCCAUACCGUAAGGAGUGGUGGAGAGCAUGGAAGUGAGAAUGCCGGUGUGAGUAGCGAGAUGCAGGUGAGAAUCCUGCACACCGAUAGCCCAAGGAUUCCAGGGGAAGGUUCGUCCGCCCUGGGUAAGUCGGGACCUAAGGCGAGGCCGAAAGGCGUAGUCGAUGGAAAACAGGCAGAUAUUCCUGUACCCGCGUGAGAAUGAAGGAGUGACGGAGAAGGUUAGUGGAUCCACUUAAUGGAUUGUGGUCCAAGCGCAGGAGCAGAUACGCAGGCAAAUCCGCGUAUCAAUGCAAAGGCGUGAAGGGGAGUGAAAGCUUCGGCAAGUAGCGAAGUUCAUGAUACCAGCUUCCAAGAAAAGCUUCUAGUGCUAAUCUCAUCGCGGCCCGUACCAAAACCGACACAGGUGGGCAAGGCGAGAAGCCUGAGGUGAGCGAGAGAACUGUUGCCAAGGAACUCGGCAAAAUGACCCCGUACGUUCGCAAGAAGGGGUGCUCGAAAGAGCCGCAGUGAAGAGGCCCAAGCGACUGUUUAACUAAAACACAGCUCUCUGCGAAGUCGCAAGACGAAGUAUAGGGGGUGACGCCUGCCCGGUGCUGGAAGGUUAAGAGGAUUUGUCAGUUUCGACGAAGCAAUGAAUUGAAGCCCCAGUGAACGGCGGCCGUAACUAUAACGGUCCUAAGGUAGCGAAAUUCCUUGUCAGGUAAG
rnacentral:rRNA from 1 species